CUCAAACAUCUUUACUGACAGGACAAAAUAAAACCUUUUUAACAUUGUCCCUAACAGUGAGAAUGAUCAGGUUUUGAGGGAGAAGGUUAUGACAUCAGGGGAUUUUAUGUAACAAUAUGCUUUCUAAGGCUGGGCUACUGGUAGACAAAUGUAAACAAAUUCAAAAUUAAAAUGUGAAUGUAUCUCUUCAAUUUACCCAGUUGUUUUAUUAAAUGAGUUGGCUAAUUUAUUUUUUUAAAUACUGCUGCUCAUGUUUGGAGAAAGACAAGCUAGGACAGAGAGUAAAUUUGGGGAUUCUCUCAAUUCUGUUGUUCUGUUAUGCAAACUGAUGUUUUUUUGUGAUUUUAUGUGAAUUAUUAAUAGUGAAGUGUAGUGUUUCUAUCUGUAGUUUCUUGGUAUUUGAUAUGACUUUGGAAUUAUAUCAUUCUUGCGACUAAAAUGGCAGAGGUCAGGCAGAGGAAGGAGCUGCUGUGUAAGGGGUAGGAAUUGUCACAUCAGGCUUUGGAGGGGGGCCCGUUCCAGUUCUUUUUUGCUACAUUACCAGUUUUCUGUUGGCAGGAUCAGAAAAGCUUCCUGAAGAAGACAAAUUAGGGGUUGGGGGAUAGAACCAACGUGUCUGUUCGAGACCUCAAAGUAUUAAUGGAAAGUAUUUCAAGCUUGCUUUAGGGUAGAGCCCCAGGGGCAGUGUCUGUCCUGAGGGGGUGUGUGAUGGGUGAUGUGGAGCUCAGGAUUUUUAAUAAUCUCUGUUCUCUUAGGGUUUGAAGGCACGACAUCCAAAAUUAAUUAGCACAUUUCAUGCCCGUUUUGGUGCUCACCUUGAGUUCUGUUUCUCACAGGGCAAAACUCUGCUGGGCUGCAGAGGCUCGUCUGUGUAAGACAGUCUGGAAGCCCAAGCAAUGGCUCUUGGGAACCUGUCUGGGAUUUAAAACUAGGGAGUUUACAGCCAGUUGUUCUGUGCUACAGCGUGGCCCAAAAUCUGCUGCCUUUGGAUUCAGCUGCUUUCUCCUGCCCUCACCCCCCUUCCUCUUACAAUGAUGUUGUUGAGAAGAGAAUAGAGCAGUUGUGAAAGAAAGUUAUGAGACAACCUCAGCCAAAGCUUAAAGGAGACGGGGAAAGCUAAACAGUCCUAAAUCCAUCACCUUGGACGCUGAAAAACAGAUUUAAGGGGGAAAUCCUUCAUUCCCCAGGUGAGUGAUCCAGUUUGGGAUCCUUAUAUAAAUUUUGCAGGUCAGAGAAUGUAUCUCUCUGAAAGGCCAGGAUAUCUCCAAUUUAGGAACUGCAAAAAAAGCACUUGGUGCAUCCAUUCUAGAGCUGGGACAGUGAAAGGUGAGUUUAAUGAUCAGUUUACAAAUCAGCUGGAACUUGCUUUGAGACAAGGAAACGCUCUGCUUUUAAGCAAUUUUCAAUAUAUAAAUAUAAUUCCAGCUUUUAAGUUGAUGUUUGAAGGAGACCAGAACUGACAUCACAUCAACAACCUCAGACCCACCUUGUUUUGUCUCGCAGUUACUUCUGUUACCUGGCAAAGUGUCACGUGUUCAAUGUCUGGAAAAACACUGUUGUGUAACUGUGAAUCUCCAGGUACAAACAAAAAUGCUUCAUCUUGAGGUUCUGCUGGAGAAGGAAGAGCUCUUUAGCCAAAACUCAUUAGCUUAAUGAUGCUGCUGUAAUUUCCUACCCCUUUUGAAAGUUAUAACCUUUACCUCCAGUUGAAUGUAUUGGCUGCUUUGUAAAGGGCUAAUGAUUAAAAAAUACAAAUUUAUGCUAAAAGAAUUUGUAGAGAGCAAGGAGCAGAGGGAAUGGCAGAGAAUGCCAGGGUGGAUAUUUUUUAAAAAAACAUAUGAAUAAAAGGCAAACAGUU